rnacentral:tRNA from 1 species
GGGUCUGUGGUUUAGUGGUAUAAUACUCCCUUAGCAUUCAGCAUCGUCCUGAUUUCAAGUGGGAGUGGUCCGGGGUUCGAUUCCCCGCGGAUCCA